CUUUCAAUACUUUUACACGGCGUGGAGGCGGUAAUUAAAUGACACGAUAAAACGUAUACGGCAAGCAAAAGCUGUCAAUACAAUACAGACAACCAAAACAAUGACACAAAAUGGCGGACAUCGAAACAAUUGACACGCGAAACUGCGAUGUGAAUAGCUCCUAUUAAAAACUCUACCUAAAAAACUACGCAUUUUUUCAAUCGCUAUAAUGUUCACCAUGAUACACCAUGUCCUGCUUACGAAUACAUAAUUUUGGAAGAUAACGAAGUGUCGGUUGACUAUGAUUAUAAUGACAAAAGUUCUGAUCAUUAUUCUGAUUCAAGUACCUCUAAAGAAAACAUCUCCGUUGCAGAACUGGACACUGAAUCUAACAUUGAAAGUAUCGAAGGUAAACAGAAGUUGUAUAAUACCUUCAAAAAAUAACCGAUGACGAAGUGUUGGUUGACAUAAAUAACUUUAUUCCCUGACUUUCUCUCGUUUGAUUUAAAAAAAAUAAAAAAAAUAAAGAAACAAAGAAAGUAGAUAAAACAGCCGAAUCUGAUAACGAUGAUUUAAAAAUAAUUUCUCUGAGUCAUGCAGCACGUCUGAUUUGGAGUGGGAUUUCAUGUGUGACUUUACCAAGAUGCGAAUCCGACCACUUCAUAUGGAGCCCAUAUUAUGAGCAACACAAUGUAGUUGUGAUAACAAGAAUAAAGGGAUGAAGAUGUUCACGAAUAUGAAGAGUGCAAAUUGUCAACAUACAGUCUGAAGAUAGUAGAUUGAAUAUUUCAAUUUUAUAUACCUGAAGUUUUCUAUUUGCAGAGCAUAAAUUUGAACCUUUGGUUUGUUAUUUGUAGUAGAUACUUCUGAUCCUUCGGAACAUGGAAAGGAGUUGAAUGAUGCUGAUGAUAUUGAAGAAUUUUAAGGUAUGAACAUUAAACCUAAGUAAAACAGUUAAAAAUAUUGCAAUCAGCAAAAUAAUUUUCAGGGAGUGAUGGAGACAACGAAGAAGAUGAAAAUGAAGUGAAGAAACGAAAGAAAUCAUAACAGAGAAUAAAAGAUAAGAAAAGAAUGAGAAAGAUGGAAAAGGAAUGAUCAGCAGCAGUAGAUGCAGACAACAACUUGGGCGACCUUUCGGAUUGAUUUUCGUCAUGUAACUCGUCUGAUUCUUACUCAGACUGGGGCUCGGACUGGGAUGUUUAAACAAAAGAAAAAAGCUAUGCUUUUCUCUCGAGAGAUAUCCCCAACCCAUAUUGAAAUGGUUUAACUUAAGAUAUCCUACAGGGGUUUGGGUUCUCAUUGGAACCUCCGAAUCUUGGAAUCGACAAAAUAUUCCAGUACACCGACAAGAAAGUGCUGGGUAUCCUUCGGAAUCCACAGACGGGCGAGUUCUCCUUCAGUCCAGAUUGCAUCAUAAGCGAGACAUCAAGGACGGGUUGACAAAACGUCUGUCAUUUUAGCGUGGCACUAACUACGUACGGCCCAUUGGUUCUCAUGAUCAUGAACCUAACAAUGCUAAAAGGAAAACAAUCCAUGAAAACCAAUGGUUAGCCGAUACCAAAUUGGACCAGCUCGUGAAAUCAGAAUUGAUCGAGAUUUAGGAGAAAUUCAUUUCCGAACUCAUCUCUACCAGAUAAAAAUUCCCCGAUGGACGCAGAUAGACAAAAAGAAGACUAGCAAACUUUACAUUUUCUGUGAUGCCAGCAAAACUGCCUAUGGAACGGUCGCUUAUGAAAGCAAGAAGGCCCUACAAUCGCUCUAGUCACCGUUUAAAGUAACCCAUAACGGAGAAGUAAGUAAGUGACUAAGUAAGUUUGGAGGUGAUGACAAAGACUUUGGAGAAGAUACUAAACAUGUUAAGACAGAAAACUCACUUCAAACCCUAAAAAUUUCAAAAAGACGGAGAAAAAUGGGAAAAAAGCUGAGCCUCAGGACAGCAAAUACGAU
rnacentral:lncRNA from 1 species